GAUGAACGCUGGCGGCGUGCUUAACACAUGCAAGUCGAACGAAGCACCUUGAUUCGAUUCUUCGGAUGAAGAUCUUGGUGACUGAGUGGCGGACGGGUGAGUAACGCGUGGGUAACCUGCCUCAUACAGGGGGAUAACAGUUAGAAAUGACUGCUAAUACCGCAUAAGACCACAGCACCGCAUGGUGCAGGGGUAAAAACUCCGGUGGUAUGAGAUGGACCCGCGUCUGAUUAGGUAGUUGGUGGGGUAACGGCCCACCAAGCCGACGAUCAGUAGCCGACCUGAGAGGGUGACCGGCCACAUUGGGACUGAGACACGGCCCAAACUCCUACGGGAGGCAGCAGUGGGGAAUAUUGCACAAUGGGGGAAACCCUGAUGCAGCGACGCCGCGUGAGCGAUGAAGUAUUUCGGUAUGUAAAGCUCUAUCAGCAGGGAAGAAAAUGACGGUACCUGACUAAGAAGCACCGGCUAAAUACGUG
rnacentral:rRNA from 1 species